AACAUCGCGCACCUGCGGGAACCUGCGGAGGGAUCAUUACGGAGUUGCAAAACUCCCUAAACCAUUGUGAACGUUACCUAAACCGUUGCUUCGGCGGGCGGCCCGGGUCCUUCCCGGCGCCCCUCGGCCCUCGCGGGCGCCCGCCGGAGGUAAACCAAACUAUUGCAUUGUAUGGCCUCUCUGAGUCUUCUGUACUGAAUAAGUCAAAACUUUCAGCAAUGGAUCUCAGAUCGGAAGAGC
rnacentral:misc_RNA from 1 species